GCAGAACAUUCACAUUUCCCGCAGUGCAUUCAAUCAGUAAACCGGGGAGCGUGCAACUCAAACGUCAAAACAAAUGUUGGGAAAAUUCACAUCGAAUCAUGUGCAGGUGUAUCAUCAGUAUUCGCGUACAGUCUCACUGAAAAAGCCAAAAAAGAGCUUGCAAACAGACAUGCCAUAAAAAACAACUGAUACGCCUGCUGUCAACUGCAACAUAAAUAUUGAGAGCGUAAAAAACACAGCAAGCAAGAAAUACAUUGGAACAAUUUUCAAAUCCAAGAAAGCACAGCACAACGUAAAGAAGAAGCAUUCAAUUUUUGGAAAUCAAAUGAAAGCUGUUCAUAUGGCACCGAUCAUUUCUGUGUAUCAGCAAAAAAAAUUCUCGAAUCUCUUUUAACUUAACUACUCCUAUGCAAACAAGCUACUUUUAAAGAUAACUACAACUACAACAAAGCACAUAUCGAACUGGUAUCUUGCAAAAAAAAAAAAAAAAGUUUGGAAAAAUAACAGCGAAAUCCUUGCCACUAUCGUCAUUGGACCAGUCAACAGCUGCAAUAAAAGCCAACCACAACAACAACAGCCGCCUAAGUCAUUACAAAACUUGUUUCGUUUCGCAUUUUUGCAAUACUCGUAGCGUUUUAGUCAACACGAAAAGUCGCUGCGAAAAUUCCGCAAUAUUCAGUGCUUUGGCGUUGGAAUAUGUUGAAGCAGAAGCGACAAGUAAAACAGCAGCCAAAAGCAAAGCCGUAUAAUUUUCACACAUUCCGUUAAAUAUAAAUUUCGUUUUGUAUGCAAAUUGUGUUGAUGCACACGCUGCACGUCAAAAUUUUACAACGAAAAAAUAAAAUUUGUAAAUAAAAUUUGCCUAUUUGACAAUGAAUUUACACCAAUCAUGCGCAUCGAAAUUCACCACUCUUGAAACAAAAUUGUUACCAAAAAAAUUUUGAACACAAAAAAUUUGUAUGAAACGCAAACCAAAACAACGUUCCAAACACAUAAACGUUAUGAUUCGUAAAACAAAACCAAAAACAAAAAACCAAAAGAUACCAUGGGGACUGAAAAAAAUCUGUUGGGGGCUGAUAAACAUAACCGUG